UACGUAGGUGGCGAGCGUUGUCCGGAUUUACUGGGCGUAAAGAGCGCGCAGGCGGUCGUUCAAGUCGCGUGUGAAAGCCCCCGGCUCAACUGGGGAGGGUCACGCGAUACUGAUCGACUCGAAGGCAGGAGAGGGAAGUGGAAUUCCCGGUGUAGUGGUGAAAUGCGUAGAUAUCGGGAGGAACACCGGUGGCGAAGGCGGCGUCCUGGACCAACACUGACACUGAUGAGCGAAAGCCAGGGGAGCAAACGGG
rnacentral:rRNA from 1 species